rnacentral:rRNA from 1 species
UACGUAGGGUGCGAGUGUUGUCCGGAAUUAUUGGGCGUAAAGGGCUCGUAGGCGGUUUGUCGCGUCGGGAGUGAAAACCUCGGGCUUAACUCGGGGCUUGCUUUCGAUACGGGCAGACUAGAGGUAUGCAGGGGAGAACGGAAUUCCUGGUGUAGCGGUGAAAUGCGCAGAUAUCGGGAGGAACACCAGUGGCGAAGGCGGCUAUCUGGGCUGAAACUGACGCUGAGGCGCGAAGGCUAGGGGAGCAAACAGG